UACGGAGGGUGCAAGCGUUAAUCGGAAUGACUGGGCGUAAAGGGUGCGUAGGUGGUUAUUUAAGUUAUAGGUGAAAUCAUUGGGCUUAACCUGGUGCGGAAUUAUAAAAACUGAAUAACUCGAGUAAGGGAGAGGGUAGUGGAAUUUCCGGUGUAGCGGUGAAAUGCGUAGAGAUCGGAAGGAACACCAGUUGCGAAGGCGGCUACCUGGCCUAUUACUGACACUGAGGCACGAAAGCGUGGGGAGCAAACAGG
rnacentral:rRNA from 1 species